rfam:Colletotrichum gloeosporioides Nara gc5 unplaced genomic scaffold scaffold476, whole genome shotgun sequence.
GCGCCGAUGGUUUAGUGGUAAAAUUCUCCGUUGCCACCCAGCAGCGUCGGGGAGCCGGGGGUUCGAUUCCCCCUCGGCGCA